UACGAAGGGGGCUAGCGUUGCUCGGAAUCACUGGGCGUAAAGGGUGCGUAGGCGGGUCUUUAAGUCAGAGGUGAAAUCCUGGAGCUCAACUCCAGAACUGCCUUUGAUACUGGAGAGCUUGAGUCCGGGAGAGGUGAGUGGAACUGCGAGUGUAGAGGUGAAAUUCGUAGAUAUUCGCAAGAACACCAGUGGCGAAGGCGGCUCACUGGCCCGGUACUGACGCUGAGGUGCGAAAGCGUGGGGAGCAAACAGG
rnacentral:rRNA from 1 species